CCCUUAGAUGUUCUGGGCUGCACGCGCGCUACACUGAAGCUAUCAACACGUUUUCCCUCCCUGAGAAGGGCGGGUCACCUUUUGAAUCAGCUUCGUGGUAGGGAUCGGGGCUUGCAAUUGUUCCCCGUGAACCAGGAAUUCCUAGUAGACGCGAGUCAUAAGCUCGCAUCGAUUAAGUCCCUGCCCUUUGUACACACCGCCCGUCGCUACUACCGAUUGAACGUUUUAGUGAGGCAUUUGGACCGACGCAUCUCAGUUUAACCGCUGGUUUGUGUUGGAAAGACUUCCAAACUUGAGCGUUUAGAGGAAGUAAAAGUCGUAACA
rnacentral:rRNA from 1 species